GUGCCCGUAGCUCAACCGGAUAGAGCAUCAGCCUUCUAAGCUGACGGUUGUGGGUUCGAGUCCCUCCGGGCACGCCA
rnacentral:tRNA from 1 species